ACUACGACAAAGACGGCUGGCUGUACCUAGUUGCGCGACAGAGCGAUUACUUCUGCGUCCGUGGGAGCAAGUAUUGGCCGGUCCAAGUCGAGGCCGUGCUGCUCAAGUGUCCAGGGGUUCAUGACUGCGCCGUCGUAGGAAUACCACAUCCCGAAGCCGGAGAAGUGGCGCACGCUCUGAUUGUGCCCGAACCAGAAGCAAGAACACUGAGCGCCUAUCACGUCACGCAAUUCGUGGAAGUUAACGCACCGAAGGGUUGCCAGUUGGAAGGCGGCGUCACAUUUGUCGACGAGAUUCCACGCAGCAAUAGAGGAAAGCUUGUCAGGCGUCAGCUCGUCCAGUGGAUUCUCGGGAAGCGAGAACAGGGAGGCAUCAACAGUCGGGAAGCUGAGGCGUAAUGUCUAACAGAUUUCCCGGGCCACGCUAUCCUGCACGGUAUAAAGCACAGCGCGCACCGUGGGUGUGCAUUCGUAUAGUAAAAUUGCAAUAUUAUCAAUGCGAAAGCAUUAUAUGCCCCAUGAAAUGGAAAAUACGGCGUCAGUUUUAUCUUCCGAUGGUACCAAAACCCAUGUGACCAAGUGAUGACGUAACGUUCUCGACUCUGGACCUGCUGCGGCUCGGACUGAAAAAUUCCACGGCGAACAGCUACGGCGUCGGGCCUCGACCCUUAUUAAAAUUUGAUUAAGGUGCAUUAAAGUGAAUUAAGGUAGAAUAAAGACAAUGUGCAUGAAUGUGACGCUUUUAUUUAAGGUGA